CGCACGCUCCUUAGAUCCGUUUCAUUUUCAAUGUGAAACGCUUGAGUCAUAAGUGUGCAAGAUCAUGAUACCUCCAUUCUGGGACGCAGAUGUGGUAUGCUUAUUUAGCAUAUCACCAGUCCUGGAAUGGGGAACAU